GUCAACUACCCCUCCCUGACGGAAGGGCUUGAAAGACAUGGAGAAAAAUAUGAAAGAGAAGCAGAAGUUAGAUUGGAGAAAUACAUACACACCUACGGAUGCUCCACAAGUCCGUGGCAACUGUG
rnacentral:sRNA from 14 species